rnacentral:rRNA from 1 species
AGCGAACGCUGGCGGCAGGCCUAACACAUGCAAGUCGAACGAACGCUGCGGAGUUAGUGGCGGACGGGUGAGUAACACGUGGGAACGUGCCUUUUGGUUCGCAAGAACGCAGGGAAACAUGUGCUAAUACCGAAUGUGCUCUUCGGGGGCAAGAGUUAUCGCCAUUAGAGCGGCCCGCGUCUGAUUAGCUGGUUGGUGAGGUAACGGCUCACCAAGGCGACGUUCAGUAGAUGGUCUGAGAGGAUGACCCGCCACACUGGGACGGAGACACGGUCCAGACUCCUACGGGAGGGAGCAGUGGGGAAUCUUGCGCAAUGGGGGAAAGCCUGACGCAGCCAUGCCGCGUAAAUGAUGAAGGUCUUAGGAUUGUACAAUUCUUUCACCGGGGACGAUAAUGACGGUACCCGGAGAAGAAGCCCCGGCUAACUUCGUG